GAUGAACGCUGGCGGCGUGCCUAAUACAUGCAAGUCGAGCGAAGCGGGGACGCGUGAGCAACACGUGGAUAACCUCCUAUAAGACUGGGAUAACUUCGGGAAACCGGAGCUAAACCGGAUACUUAUACAUGGUUCCGCCCUGCAUUAGCUAGUUGGUAAGGUAACGGCGUACGAAGGCAACGCUGCAUACCCGACCUGAGAGGGUAAUCGGCAACACUGGAACUGAAACACGGUCCAGACGCAUACGGGAGGCAGCAGUUGGGAAUCUUAAGCAAUGAGCGAAAGCCUGACGGAGCAACGCCGCGUGAGUGAUGAAGGGCUUCGGAUCGUAAAACUCUGGUAUUGAGGAGUCGGUACCUAAUCAGAAAGCCACGGCUAACUUCGUGCCAGCAGCCGCGGUAAUUC
rnacentral:rRNA from 1 species